UACGGAGGAUGCGAGCGUUAUCCGGAUUUAUUGGGUUUAAAGGGUGCGUAGGCGGAUUGAUAAGUCAGUGGUGAAAUCCUGCAGCUUAACUGUAGCAUUGCCGUUGAUACUGUCAGUCUUGAGUAUGGUUAAGGUAGGCGGAAUGUGUAAUGUAGCGGUGAAAUGCUUAGAUAUUACACAGAACACCGAUUGCGAAGGCAGCUUACUGAACCAUAACUGACGCUGAGGCACGAAAGCGUGGGGAGCGAACAGG
rnacentral:rRNA from 1 species